rnacentral:rRNA from 1 species
AUAUUGCGCAAUGGAGGGAACUCUGACGCAGCGACGCCGCGUGAGCGAUGAAGGUCUUCGGAUCGUAAAGCUCUGUCCUUGGGGAAGAAGGGAGCCGUAAGGCUUCUUGACGGUACCCAUGGAGGAAGCCCCGGCCAACUACGUGCCAGCAGCCGCGGUAAUACAGAGGGUGCAAGCGUUAAUCGGAAUUACUGGGCGUAAAGCGCGCGUAGGUGGUUCAGUAAGAUGGGUGUGAAAUCCCCGGGCUUAACCUGGGAACUGCUUUCAUAACUGCCGGGCUAGAGUAUGUCAGAGGGGGGUAGAAUUCCGCGUGUAGCAGUGAAAUGCGUAGAGAUGCGGAGGAAUACCGAUGGCGAAGGCAGCCCCCUGGGAUAAUACUGACGCUCAUGCACGAAAGCGUGGGGAGCAAACA